rnacentral:rRNA from 1 species
UGCAGAAUCCCGUGAACCAUCGAGUCUUUGAACGCAAGUUGCGCCCAAAGCCAUUAGGCCGAGGGCACGUCUGCCUGGGCGUCUCGC